CCCCUAGAUGUUCUGGGCCGCACGCGCGCUACACUGAACAGUUCAACAAGUCUUAACCUUGGCCGAUAGGUCUGGGUAAUCUUUGAACGCUGUUCGUGAUUGGGAUAGACCUUUGCAAUUAUGGGUCUUCAACGAGGAAUUCCUAGUAAACGCAAGUCAUCAGCUUGCGCUGAUUAUGUCCCUGCCCUUUGUACACACCGCCCGUCGCUCCUACCGAUUGGGUGAUCCGGUGAAUAAUUCGGAUUGCGGCAACGUGGGCAACCGCGAUGCUGUGAGAAGUUUAGUGAACCUUAUCACUUAGAGGAAGGAGAAGUCGUAACA
rnacentral:rRNA from 1 species